ACUGGCAGGGUUGGGUGUGAGCCGUGAGCCCGGCUGUGUGCUGAGGGGAGCGUUGGUUCUGAGCGUGCCUGGAUGUGCGAGUGGCUGGGCUGCUCCUUGCGAAGUGCAGAAUACUCUAAAGAAGAAAAUGCUCUAAUAGCGAACGAAGCGUGGUGAAUGACGGAAUAGUUUGGGUUGAAAAGGAGCUUAAAGCCCCCACAGUUGCAACCCCCUGCUGUGGGCAGGGCUGCCACCCUCCACCUCAGGCUGCCCGGGGCCUUGAGGUGAGAAGAGGCUGGAAAUACCAGCUCAAAUUAAUAGCCACGCCGUAGAAUCAUAGAGUCUUUACGGUUGGAAAAAGCCACUGAGACCAUCUAGUCCAACCCCAACCCAGCCCCACCAUGCCCACUGAGCACAUCCCUCAGUGCCACAUCCACAUGGCUCCUGAACGCCUCCAUCAGCAAUGAGUCCACCACCUCCCUGGGCAGCCUGUGCCACUGCAGCACCACUCUAUCAGAGAAGAAAUUCUUCCUAAUAUCCGAUCAUACCUGCAGUGUAAAAAAAAACACUAGAUAGAACAGCAUUCCUGAGAUUCGUGGGAGUGGUCCCACACAAGGACUCCCAGUCCUCACAGAGGACUGGCACAGGAACAUCUUUUACCUUUAGCCUGAUCCAAGAGCUGCUGAAAUCAGUGGAAGAGCUCCUAGUGAUUUGAGCAUAUGAUCACAAGGAGCAUAUAGGUUGCUGUGUUGCGAAUUGUCUACAGUCUAGAUAGGAUCCACCGGGGUCCACAUUCAUGAAGAACUGAAACGGUCCAAUCAGUAAGAGACAAAAGCAUUUAUCAACAUCUGGAAAUCACUUUCACUGAUCAGCAGUUACAGUCUGCCAAUAUCUCUUAGAAAGAAAAAAAAUGUCAACAAAUUAGAAGGAACAGAGAAAAUGGUAAAAAAUAAAAAUGAAAUUAAUGUGUUGAAGAAUUGGUGAAGGACGAAAGAAUAAAAGACCCGAAUUUGUGAAGUCAUUAAGUGACAGCUGAUAUUUUACUGAAGAAGCCAAAGGAGGAGAAAAAUUGUUUGGAACAGAUUCGUGCGAAUCAACAGUGCAUGUGCAAUCACAGUGCAAGAUGGACACACCUAACGGGCAAAUGUAUUUGUUCCCUGACAAUCUUUGCAGCUUCCACUGCUGCUCCUGACACGUCUCAGAAUAAAGGUAUUGGUGUCAGGAGGAACUAAAAUGUGAAGGAGAAUCACACAUUUGAAACUGGGUUUUGAAGGAUAAACUGUUUUGAAGAGGCUACAGAACCCUUUGCGUCCCAUGGCUAUUGCUGAAAAAAUAACACAAAGCAACCAACAUGUAGAAAGAAACCCCAAUAACCUCUAUGUGUCUCAGCUUUCUCAGCUGCAAAAUGAGCUCGGUAAUAUUUCUUGAUUCAUAUGCGGAUGUUGUGACAGCAAAUUCAAUGACAUGUAUGGGCCAGCAGGCCAGUGUGGGAACAAGGACUUGUUACAUUAGGGGCGAAAUGAACUGAGAAUGACAAGAUAUGAGAAGAAAUGUAUCUCUAGCACGGUUCUUAAAAAUCAUCUCGUUGACCCAG
ensembl:lncRNA